ACCUACUUAACUCAAUGAUUAGAGUAUUGCUUUCAUAUCGCGGGAGUCAUUGGUUCAAAUCCAAUAGUAGGUA
rnacentral:tRNA from 1 species